AGAAUGGUUUUCUCGUUCCUCAGCAGCUCAAUCUGAAGGCACACCUAGGAGGAGCUGAGGCUGGUGGAGGUCGGUGGAGGCUGGUGGAGGUGGGUGGAGGUGGGUGGAGGUUGGUGGAGGUGGGUGGAGGUUGGUGGAGGUGGGUGGAGGUUGGUGGAGACUGGUGGAGGUUGGUGGAGGUGGGUGGAGGUGGGUGGAGGUUGGUGGAGGUGGGUGGAGGCUGGUGGAGGUUGGUGGAGGUCGGUGGAGGUCGGUGGAGGCUGGUGGAGGUGGGUGGAGGUUGGUGGAGACUGGUGGAGGUUGGUGGAGGUGGGUGGAGGUGGGUGGAAGUUGGUGGAGGUUGGUGGAGGUGGGUGGAGGUGGGUGGAGGUUGGUGGAGGUGGGUGGAGGUUGGUGGAGGUCGGUGGAGGUUGGUGGAGGUGGGUGGAGGUUGGUGGAGACUGGUGGAGGUUGGUGGAGGUGGGUGGAGGUGGGUGGAGGUUGGUGGAGGUGGGUGGAGGCUGGUGGAGGUUGGUGGAGGUCGGUGGAGGUCGGUGGAGGUGGGUGGAGGUCGGUGGAGACUGGUGGAGGUUGGUGGAGGUUGGUGGAGGUGGGUGGAGGUUGGUGGAGGUUGGUGGAGGUUGGUGGAGGUGGGUGGAGGUUGGUGGAGGUUGGUGG